rnacentral:lncRNA from 1 species
AAUACAUGAUAACAUAUACGAUUACAGGAUUCCCAUAUCCCUAAGAAAAAGAUCUGGCGAGGAUCCUUUUCCUUUAAUUACAACUUCUGAUAUCAAUAGCCGAGAGUUUCUCCUCUCACACCCAAUCGUCGAACACAUGGAGAGCAAAGAUCAGAAGAAACUUCACAUAGCCAUGUUCCCAUGGCUAGCGUACGGCCACCUAAUGUCAUAUUUCGAGGUCUCCAAGUUCUUAGCUCAAAAGGGUCACCGAAUCUCCUUCAUCUCCACCCCCAAAAACAUCACUCGUCUCCGAUCCUCCUCCUUUUCCCCGCUCAUCGAUUUCGUCGAGCUUCCUCUCCCUACCGUCGACGGCUACCGGAAUCCGCUGAGUCCACCUCCGAGCUACCAAUCAACAAAGUCCCUUACCUCAAAAAAGCGAACGACUUGCUCAAGCCUUCAGUCACCCAUUUCAUCGAACACUCGGGCGUCAACUGGAUCGUCCACGACUUCAAUUGCUACUGGGUUCCCCAAGUCGCCACUCAGCUUGGAGUCAACUCAGUCUACUUCAGUGUCACCAACGCCAAUUCCUUGGCUUUCGGCGGUCCUCCGUCCGAGUUACUUGGCAAUAAACGCAGGCGGCCGGAGGACUUUACUGUCGUCCCCGAGUGGGUCGACUAUCCUUCCAACGUUGCUUUUAAGCUGCAUGAGGUGGUGAGCCAUUGGGAUUGCAUGGACGACGAGGUCUCCGAUUUUCACAGACUCGCGGGUUCGAUUCAAGAUUGUAAUUUUGUGACCAUGCGGAGCUGCACCGAGUUCGAAUCUGACGCUGUGAGUCUGCUCAGGAAGAUCUACGGCAAACCAGUUGUUCCACUCGGGCUGCUGCCGCCAGUCUCAGCGCCGCAUCAGCACGGCGUCGCUGACGAUCGAGGGGAUGAGACGUGGGAAGUGCUGAGAGGUUGGCUCGAAAAUAAGAAACCGAACUCGGUGGUUUACAUCGCAUUCGGCACUGAGGUGACUCCGAGUCUAGAGUUGAUGCACGAGUUGGCACAUGGGAUAGAGAAAUCCGGGUUGCCCUUUAUCUGGGUGGUCAACAAUCGCCCGUUAGUGGAGGGUGUGUUGGGGGCUGAUAUCAUUCCACCCGGCUUUCAAACUCGAGUGGAGGAUCGAGGCUUGGUCUGGAGGGGUUGGGCCCCACAACUUAAGAUUCUAGCUCAUGCAUCGGUCGGAGGUUUCCUAACUCAUUGCGGUUGGAGUUCAGUUGUUGAGGCACUACAAUUUGGGCGGGUUUUGAUUUUGUUUUCGGGUGCUUAUUCAGACCAACCGCUGAACGCCAGACUAAUGCAUGAUAAGCGGGUCGGGUUGGAGAUACCGAGGGACGAACGAGACGGAUCGUUUACGAGUGACUCAGUGGCGGAGUUGAUUAGGCGAGUGAUGGUGGAGAAAGAAGGUGAGUCAAUAAGGUCAAAUGCAUGGGCCAUGAAGGAGAUCUUUGGCAACGUAGAGUUGAACAACAGGUGCUUGGACGAAUUCACUCGAACCCUUGAAACCUGGCCCACUUCAACCUAAUCAACUUUGCAGAUUUUAUGUUUUGGGGCCUCUAAAUUGGCAUAAUUAAUUGGUAUCUUGCUUUCUAGUUGUGUUUUUAUUUCUACCGACAAUAAAGUGGCAUCGAAUUGAUAAAAUAAAAACCUAGUAAGAGAGAAAUCGAGGAGGCUGAAUCUAUAUCUAUUUGUAGUUGUGGUUGAUUUGAGGAUUGUAUUUUCUGAAAAGCAUUACAUUUGUGUUUAUGUUAAAAGUAUUUUCAUUCUACUACUUUUUAAUAAUUCUGAGAAUGAACGGUAAAGAUUAGUCAAAAAGUCAUACUCCUUGUUGGCUGGACUUUCAAAAACAACCCUGUUUUCAUUAUUAACAUAUUUGAAAUUUUAUUCUAAAAAAUCGAACAUCGCAAAUUGUAUAAAAAAUCAUACUACUUGGUAGGCUAGAGUUUUGAAGAUAACCAAAUUUCAUUAUUAACAUAUCAAAAUUUUAAUCUAAAAAAUCGAACUCUACAUAUUGUUUUUUAAGUUAUACACCUUGGUAGGCUAGACUUCCGAAGAGAACCCGAUUUCAUUGUUAACAUAUCGAAAUUUCAUUCUAAAAAAUUGAACGUUUAAAAUUGUUUAAAAAGUCAUACUGCUUGGUAGGCUAUACUUCCGAAAAUAAAGAAUUUUGUAGUGUUGAAACUUUUGGCAGGUUUUCUUUAUAAGGCGUUUAUUGUUGUAGUCCUAUUAAAUUAGGAAUGUGAUUGUGUAAAUCUUAUGAUAUCUGAGAUAUUCUUAUGAGAUUUUACCAUAUAUCUUAGACUAUAUAUUAUCUUAUUAGAGUUGUAAUCCUAUUGGGGUAAAUAAUUCUCUGUAUGUCACCGCACCCUCUCUUUCUGUCCUUUAUAUCGUUCAUUAAAUUAAACUUAUAACAUUUAUAUAAUUUUGUUGAUCCUAAAAAUUAUCAAGCCUACGUGGCAGGCAAGCCGAGUAACUAAUGAGCUAAUUACAUCAUUCAGUUGAGGAGGAUUAGAGGCGAAUGAUGUUUUUGGGGGUGGAGAUGGAGAUUAGGCGACCCUUUUGAGCCAAGAACUUGGAGACCUCUAGAUAGGGGUGUGAUAUCCACACACCUUUUUUUACUUCUCCCACACCUUUUUGGUUUUCGGCCGUCAGGUCGGAUGAAUUGAAGAAGAUCAGCGGACAGAAAUUAACAAGGGUGUGUGAGAAGUAAAAAAGGGUGUGUGGAUAGCACACCCCCUCUAGAUAUUGCAUUAGGUGGCCAUAGGCUAUGUUAGGGUGAUAUUUUAUAUAUAUUUGAUAACUCUUUUACCUAUAACUUAGUCAUGAUUUUAUAGUAAAUUGGUGAGUUUGAUGUGUUUUUGUGCGAUUUUUGUAGAGAACAUAAUUCAUGAAUAAAGAAGGGAAUUGGAAGCUUAAAUUAGAGAAACUCAAAGAAUUAUCGAAUGGGAUGUGACUGAUGGGCUGGAGCAAAGAAUGGAACAAUACAUCAUAUAGGAAAUUGGAUCAUUAAAGCAAGCCCAAUAAAAUUAGGCUGUGCAAGCAUGCGGUGAUGUGUUUUCCCAAAAAGAAUUGGGUUUGAGAGUCCAAACGGCAUGUGGAUUAGGCAACCAAAAGGAAAGGCAUAGAAAGAAAAAGGUUUUUAGCAGCCGCAAGGGUGGGGGAUAUAACGAUACUCCAGCCUUCCAGUGGGGGUACUCUUGACAGAAGGUGGCAGUUUUGGGGUUUAUCGCACACGGUUCCAGAAUUGGGGUUUUGGGUUUCUUUAUGUCAUCGAAUUCAUCCAUAUUUGUCAUUAGUUUAAUCAUGAACUAAGUCCUUUUGCUAGGAUUAGGGUGUACUCUUAUUAUGAACAUCUAAUUCUUAUUAUUUCAUAUUGAUCUCGGUUGUUUUCCAUGUUGAGUAAUUGUUAUUGUGCUUUAUCGUUAUCAAAUAACUGGCCAUUAUUUGUGUGAAGAACUAAAUUGGGACUGACAGGUUGAGUUUAGUAGAUUGCUUCUCAUAACAAUUACCAUGAAUUACAUAAUUGAGUAGACAUACUGGUUAUGACUUGUGUAGUAUUGUGAAAUUAUCCAUUUAGCGUAAAGGGAUUCGAUUAUCUACUUAUGUGGCUAGACAUAGCAUGGGUAGAUAGUUAGAACACAGUUAGUACAUUCUGAAAGGAAAUAUUGACGAAUCAAGGGAUAAUUGCUAGCAACAUGGGAAUAAUUUGAGUUUAAUAUGAAUAACGGGAUUAGAUGGGAUUGAGAAUGAGGAACCUGAUGUCCUAGUGCUUCAAUAUAUUAAUUUUUCAUAAUUCAUUCACUUUUACUUCGUGUUUGUUCAAUUGAUAUUUUCAAUUUCGUUUGGGUUUUUGCAUAUUUGAAUUUGUCAUCGUAAUCCAUCUUUUAUUUAAGUUUAGUUUGAAGUCAAUCUCAAUAGUAAAUUUAGGUUAAUCCGAUCCUUAUUUGAACGACACUCUACUUAUCACUAUAUUACUUGGACGAUAUUGUACACUUGCAAUUAUCAACAACAGGCUAGCCAUGGGAACAUGGCUAUUUGAAGUUUCUUCUGAUCUUUGCUCUCCAUGUGUUCGACGAUUGGGUGUGAGAGCAGAGAUUCUCAGGCUUUUGAUAUCAGAAAUUGUAAUUAAAGGGCAGUACUAGUAGUGGCAUGGAAAUUACGAAUUGAUAAGCUACUGGUAAAUCAGCAGUCACAGUUCAUUUGGCAUUGUAAGUUCCUGGCAAUAAUUAUUUUUUGGGUCUUCUUAUUUUGGCAUGUCGAGAAUUGCUUUUAAGAUAUUAACAAUGCGAACUUUGGCAUGUCUACAAAGAAAUUUACGAUAGACAGUUUAGCGAUUUGUAGUCUUGAUUUAAAUUCACGUAAUUUUUAUUUUAAUAAUCUUCCUUCUUGUUCAAUUAGUUUUUUUUUUUUUUUUUUGUCAAACAAUAGAUUUUGUUAGAUUAGCCACCGACAGAGUUUGAACCCACAUCAUCAUGCAAGGGCUCAACACUUUUCCACCACUGUGGUAAAGGGCCACUUGCUUGUUCAAUUAGUUUCAUUCGUGAGAGAAUCGAUUUGGGAUGUUUUAGUCUAAAUUUGUUAUUGAGUACGUUUGUUUGGGCUCUUGCUUUUAGCUCCAUUUUUUCAACAAAAAAAAAUGUAACUUUUGGCCAAGUUAUUAGAUUGCUUUAUGGUGUGAGAGAUUAAUUAACAUCUAAACACCUAAAUUAAUCAAUCACGGUGCAUGUGAUUAAUAUUUGGAGGUUAGUUUAAUGGUAAAAGGAAAUAUGAGACUAGUGUUCAGAUGAGGGAAGAUGAGUUAAUAUGAUUAAGAUUGUCUCGAGUUGGAUUCCAUUUUCUGUUGUAACCAAAAUACCAAGUAAAAUACAGAGCGAAAAUUAUUUUCUAUACCAAGUUGUAAAGAUCAUUACAAGGAAAUUCGAGAAUUCUUCUAUGAUUAUGACGUCCGCAAACGGACUUAUCCAAUAUAUCUCACAAGCCACUAAAUUUUAUUUAGCUUUAAUAUCAAUUAUUGACAUACAUGAUUUGGGUAAACAAUUAUUAACAUAUUUUAGGUUUUCCUAUUUCGAAUUGGAUAAUCUCUUACAUUUUAGGAUUUAAGUGUCAAACUAUGGUGUCAAACGAUAGUGUGUGUAUAUAUGCAUGUAUGUAUCAUCUUAUAUGAUGGUGAGAGAGAGGUUUAAGGUAGAGCUGGCCCUAAGGGUGUGCAAAAGGUGUCACCGCACAAGGCCCCCAAGUUUUCAUUACAUAUAUACAGAUGCAUGUAAAUAGAUUAGAUGCAAAAGAUAAUCUAAUCGGUGGUUCUAGCGCUAGCGGUUUAGCUCUUCCACUUUAUGGCCCAUGUGCUGGGUUUGAAUCCCUUUGAUAUUGCUUUUCUAAUUUUUUAGCUUUUGCAAAUGUGUAAACAAAAAAGGAGAUAACAAAAACGGAUCCAACGUGUAUCGAACUUAGGACCUUUGAAGGUAAGGAAAAAACCCUGCCCAAUCAAACAACUUAUUUUUUUUACAGUAACUUGUAAUAUUUUACUUUUAUAGAUGAAAACAUUGAAGAAAAAAUAAUAAAGAAAUAUAACAUAAAAAAAAAUAAAGGGCCUCCAUCCAAGUUUGCAUAGGGCCCCUAAAUACUUAGAGUCGGCCCUAGAUGGUAGGUGACAGAUAGAGAGUGAGCACACAGAGCUUCCAACAUGAAUUCAUGCAAGAAAAGAACCACGUGUGCUAACUCUCUUAAGUCACCUUCUUUACAAACCUCUGUAAUUAUGUAUCCAAUCUAUAUGUAUCAAAUCAUAGAUGUAGCCACACAUACAUACUGAACUAAAUGAAACAAGUACCUUCUUCGUCCUCUUCUCUUUGUAGCUAGGGUUAAUUAAGGAAGUUGAUUUGUGAAAAACAUAGGGUUAGGAGGGUUAAUUUAUAUAGGAUCAGAAGCAUCGAUCCGUCUUUGACUCCUGGUAAAGAUAUGUUAAGAGCGCGUUUACUAAUCCGUAAUCAGAUUAAGAGGAAUUGGAUUGAGAAGGAAUUGGAAUGAGGUGGAAUCAGAAUUAGAUUUCUGUUGAAGUUGUUUACCAAAACUAUUUGGAAUCGAAGUAGGAAUGACAUUGAUGUAUACAAACUGUUUACUAAUUCACAUGAAUCGGAAUAAUAACUAAUGUGAUUACUAAAGUACCCCUAUUUUAACUAAUUUAUUUUAUAUGCUAAUUAUUUUUAGUAAAACUUUUAUUCUUUUAUUUUUUUUAAAUUUUUUACUAGAGAGAAUAAUUUUUUUCCUUUUAUAUAACUUUUAAAUUUUCCUAAUUGCAUAGAUUACUUCAAAUUUGAUAUGAAAGAAUCAAUUUUUAUUUGCUUCUAACCCUUAAUCACCCUAAAUCCUAUUAGAAAUACCUACAUAAAGUAAACUAAAAUAACAUUUUACUUCCUUCUCUCUUCCCCCUUUCUUUCCGCAUUCUUUUUCUGCAACCCUUUCCCCUUUCUUUCCCCAAUACGCAAUAUAACAUUUUACUUCCUUCUCUCUCUUCCCCCUUUCUUUCCCCAUUCUUUUUCUGCAACCCUUUCUUUCCCCUUUCUUUCACCAGUACGCAGUAUCCACACCCCACCAUCCAAUCUCAGGAGGAACUAUGAAGCCACGACCCACCCCAUCAACAAAAAAAAUCCAAUUUUCAGGGUGAAAGUGAUAAAAGUUCUUUCUUUCUCUUCUGUUUGAGUCUGCAAAUCGCAAUUUCCUUGAGGAUUUGGGCGUUCGUUGUUCCAGAUCAUGUUCGUCGUUGUGCCGUCGUUUCAAACCCCGGUCGAUCGUUGUUCCAAAUCGCAGGCGUUCGUCAUUCAGUGCUACUGUGUUUCAGAUUGCAAAGGUGGGGUGGUAUGUGCUGUGAGAGAAACAAAUACAGAGGAGAGUGAUUGAUGAAGGUAGAAGUUGUUUUAGGAAUAUACAUGGGUAUUUUGGUUAGAAAAUUUUGAUUCGUGAUGGAGCUCUCUACCCAGAAUUCAAUUACCACCUCUAUAGAGGGAAUCCAAAUCCGGAGAAAUCCGGAAUUGAACUCCUGAAAUUGGCUGGACCCCACAUAAAAUCUGAUUCCCCAGUUGCUAGUAAAUUGCAGAAUGCUUGGGGAGGAAUUCAAUUUCGUUUCUCCCCAUUCCACUCCCGAUUGGUAAACACGCCAUAAAUUCUUCCCCUUGAAUGCUGUUGGAAACCGGCAACCAAUCACUUGCGUUGAACUGAAAUGCAAGAGAUUCUAGGCCAACCAGUCGAACCUUCAGUUCUUGCUUACGUCUACCACUCACGUGUUUAAUAGUUCAUGCAUAACCAAGUUAUAUAAUUGCAAUGUUAACUAAAUAAGAGUUGCUUUUAAAGUGUUUCUCAAGAAGAAAGAUUAUCAAAAGAAAAAUUGCCUAAAUUUAAAUUAAGAAUACAAAUCGCUAAAUUGUUAAUUACAAAUUUUUUUUCUUUAUAGAUAUAACGAAAUUUGUAUUAUUAAUAAGGAAAAUUAAUGAAAAAAAUUUAAAAACUUUAAAUUUUAAUUAAAAUGAUAAAAAUGUGUUGUAAGUGAAUAAUACCAUUAGUGAUUUUUUAGAAUAAAAAUAAACAAUACUUCUACAAAACUCCCUUAUUAAUAUCAUAAAAGCAAUUCUCUAGGACCAACACAAACAGACCCAAAGAAUAAUUAUUGCGAGCAUCUUGCAAUGUCAAGUACCUCGUGAAGGAUCCAAAAAAAAUAAAUAUCGCCAGCAACUUGCAAUAUUAAAUGUUAUUAAUUGAACUGUGACUGCUGAUUUAUUGCCCACAAUGUCAAGUACACCGUGAGGAGAGUUUUUUUAAUGUGACCGUCACAUGAGAUGGUAUACCACGUGUUUCUAUAUAAAUAGUGAAUUAUGUGAAUUAAAAGAUUAAUAACUUAAAAAUUAAAUUUUUCCACUACUUACAUAAAAAUAUGUGAUGUAUUAUCCGUGUUCAUGUCAUAACUAAAAAUUUCUCCACCGUGAGGGACCCAAAGAAUAAAUAUCGCCAGCAGCUUGCAAUGUUCAAUGAACCCUGACCGCUGAUUUACCAGUACCUUAUCCAUUCGUAAUCGUCAUGCCCAUGGCCCAAUAGUACUCUUUAAUUACAACUUCCGAUAUCAAAAGCCGAGAGUGUCUCCUCUCACACCCCAAUCGUCGAACACAUGGAGAGCAAAGAUCAGAAUAAACUUCACAUAGCCAUGUUCCCAUGGCUAGCCUACGGCCACCUAAUGUCAUUUCUCGAGGUCUCCAAGUUCUUAGCUCAAAGGGUCAUCGAAUCUCCUUCAUCUCCACCCCCAAAAACAUCAAUCGUCUCCGAUCCUCCUCCUUUUCCCCGCUCAUCGAUUUCGUCGAGCUUCCUCUCCCUGCCGUCGACGGCUUACCGGAAUCCGCCGAGUCCAC